rnacentral:rRNA from 1 species
UACGUAGGGUGCAAGCGUUAAUCGGAAUUACUGGGCGUAAAGCGUGCGCAGGCGGUUUUGUAAGACAGGUGUGAAAUCCCCGGGCUUAACCUGGGAACUGCAUUUGUGACUGCAAGGCUGGAGUGCGACAGAGGGGGAUGGAAUUCCGCGUGUAGCAGUGAAAUGCGUAGAUAUGCGGAGGAACACCGAUGGCGAAGGCAAUCCCCUGGGCCUGCACUGACGCUCAUGCACGAAAGCGUGGGGAGCAAACAGG